UCGCGCACUAGCGACUCCUGUUUGCGGAUUGGGCGCAGUGCACGCUGACACGUUCCAGGUGUACGGUGUUUCCUCCUCCGGCUGGCUUCCGGGUUAAGUGGGCAUCGUGUCAAGAAGAAGCAGCGCGGUUGUGGACUGUAACUACCAAUUGGACGAAGGGGUUAAAAAAAAGCUGAUAGUUACCAGCAUCUUUCAGCCUUUUCAUUCGUGUUGUGACUUUUAGCUAGCAAGCUAAUUUACUUACCAGCAUGCGCGAAAAAGCACACUGUGUUUUGACCGGAUGCCAUAGUGUUAAUUUAACGGUACACUAUUUUAGAAGAAUGAACACAUCCGACAUCAGUGGCUGUUUUUUCUCUUCGGGUGGACAGGCUACACCGAACAUUGGGAUUAUGUAUGUGAGUACUGUGCGCAUUUCGAGCGAAAUUCCGAUGGGAACAUCCGAUGGGUCUUGCCAGGAAGCUAAUCCUGAAGACGGCUGCAGUACCAUCAUUGACACUUCCCACCAGGAUAUGUGAAAAAGCGCGAAGACUGCGUGGUCAAGCUGACGUCUGCAUUGGCCAUGCAGUAUUUAUCUUGAUAUGGACACUGCAGAAGUCACGGCAUUCAUAGUUUUUGCUCUUCGUGGAGCAGCGCAGAGCAGUUGUCAAGGAAUUUCCCAGGCAACCACCGGCAGCAGAAAUGCUGUGAUACAAAAUCAGCUUUCCCUUGGGGAUAUGCUGUGAAGCCUGUGAAGACAUACCAAAGGGGGAUUUGCUGUGAAGACAGACACAACAUACUGCAAUGGGGAUGACUGAAGCAAAAGUGGGUGACUGAAGCCUACUUGAUUGAAGCGGGGUUUAUGGGUCCCUCUCCCACUCCCCUCCCCAUCAAUCUCUGUAGUUGGUUGCAUUUCCUAAAGCUUAAGUAAUUCAUGUGAUAUCCCAUUUUGUCACUUUUUAUAUAUAUUUUUGCAUUUGGAUGGGAAAUUAGUUUGACAAAUUGUAUGAAUCAAUGGUCAUGCACAGUGUAGGCCGGGCCAGGUGCCUAUAUUAGGCUUAGUGCUCUAAUAUAUAUUUUUUAUGUCAUGUUUCACUGUUAUUUCUCAAUAUUUUGACUAUGCUGGCCUAUUUUUAAAUGAUCAAAUACAUGUCUGAUCAACACAUACAAUUCUGAACAUAGUCAUAAUGCCAAUGCUGAGUCACCAAUCAUGGGCCAUGAUGAUGUUAUGUCCUCGUCAGAGCUGUCCAAGCACACGCGAAGACAGCGUAACAGACAGAGGUGGGAAAAAACUAAGUAGCUGCAAAGAGCCAAGUUUGUUCAUCAAUCACAUUUUUAUUUGUCACGUGUUAUAAACGAGAACUUCACUCUUCAA